AUUUUGGACAAUGGGCGAAAGCCUGAUCCAGCAAUGCCGCGUGCAGGAUGAAGGCCCUCGGGUUGUAAACUGCUUUUGUACGGAACGAAAAGCCUGGGGCUAAUAUCCCCGGGUCAUGACGGUACCGUAAGAAUAAGCACCGGCUAACUACGUGCCAGCAGCCGCGGUAAUACGUAGGGUGCAAGCGUUAAUCGGAAUUACUGGGCGUAAAGCGUGCGCAGGCGGUUUUGUAAGACAGUGGUGAAAUCCCCGGGCUCAACCUGGGAACUGCCAUUGUGACUGCAAAGCUAGAGUGCGGCAGAGGGGGAUGGAAUUCCGCGUGUAGCAGUGAAAUGCGUAGAUAUGCGGAGGAACACCGAUGGCGAAGGCAAUCCCCUGGGCCUGCACUGACGCUCAUGCACGAAAGCGUGGGGAGCAAACAGG
rnacentral:rRNA from 1 species